GAGGGGCUGAGUGCACUGCUCCUCACAGACCAUCCUGCUGAACAACAGCACAGCGACAAGCUGAACAGUGCAAUCAAUACGUUAUAGAGAACAGGAAUGAGAACUUCAUUCAAAUAGGUGCAUCCCUACAGCUCUAACCGGUAGGAGAAGUUCAUAUCACAACUACAGAACAAAUCAACCCAGGAAAAGAAUCUUCACAUCCACUAACUUGGCAGAAGCUAUAAAUUGUCUAGAGCCAGAAAAAAACAAAGAACCGCCAUCCAUAAUGAAACGAGAACCAAAGCUCCUUGAAACCCACACAAAGAAAUCAGAACCUGUACAAACCUACAGCUGACUUAAGAACAGGCUUGAUUGUAAUCACUGCUAUUCAAAGAUUUAUUUACAGUUACUGGAGCAAGACUUUGAACUAAACACAGACGUGAGCACCAGGU